UUUUCUUUCGCUUCGUUAACGGUCACUCUGGCUUCUGGCAUCUCACGGUCUCACAUCAUGCACGGUCUAGCAAAUGAAGAGAUGGCAUCGAACGAGACAACGUCGCACGAUAUGUGGGCAAGGCGCGCGGACGACGCUGCUUGAACAGUUGUGAUUCUCCACGUUAUCUCCGCGCUACAAAUUGAUAUGCGUACGCCCAUUGUCCACCAGCUGCGAGAACCAGGCCGAAAGUCAAUGCUCCCC